GAUGAAGAACGCAGUGAAAUGCGAUAAGUAAUGUGAAUUGCAGAAUUCAGUGAAUCAUCGAAUCUUUGAACGCACAUUGCGCCCUCUGGUAUUCCGGGGGGCAUGCCUGUUCGAGCGUCAUUAUAACCACUCAAGCUUUCGCUUGGUAUUGGGGCUCGCGGUUCCGCGGCCCCUAAAAUCAGUGGCGGUGCCUGUCGGCUCUACGCGUAGUAAUACUCCUCGCGAUUGAGUCCGGUAGGUCUACUUGCCAGCAACCCCCAAUUUUUACAGGUUGACCUCGGAUCAGGUAGGGAUACCCGCUGAACUUAAGCAUAUCAAUAAGCGGAGGA
rnacentral:misc_RNA from 1 species